rnacentral:rRNA from 1 species
GAUGAACGCUGGCGGCGUGCCUAAUACAUGCAAGUCGAGCGAAUAGACGAGGAGCUUGCUCCUUUGACGUUAGCGGCGGACGGGUGAGUAACACGUGGAUAACCUACCUAUAAGACUGGGAUAACUUCGGGAAACCGGAGCUAAUACCGGAUAACAUGUUGAACCGCAUGGUUCAACAGUGAAAGACGGUCUUGCUGUCACUUAUAGAUGGAUCCGCGCCGCAUUAGCUAGUUGGUAAGGUAACGGCUUACCAAGGCAACGAUGCGUAGCCGACCUGAGAGGGUGAUCGGCCACACUGGAACUGAGACACGGUCCAGACUCCUACGGGAGGCAGCAGUAGGGAAUCUUCCGCAAUGGGCGAAAGCCUGACGGAGCAACGCCGCGUGAGUGACGAAGGUCUUCGGAUCGUAAAACUCUGUUAUUAGGGAAGAACAAAUGUGUAAGUAACUAUGCACGUCUUGACGGUACCUAAUCAGAAAGCCACGGCUAACUACGUG